AUUGAACGCUGGCGGCAGGCCUAACACAUGCAAGUCGAGCGAGCGGCGGACGGGUGAGUAAUGUUUGGGGAUCUGCCCGAUGGAGGGGGAUAACUACUGGAAACGGUGGCUAAUACCGCAUACUAUCGGAUGAACCCAUAUGGGAUUAGCUAGUUGGUGGGGUAAAGGCUCACCUAGGCGACGAUCUCUAGCUGGUCUGAGAGGAUGAUCAGCCACACUGGGACUGAGACACGGCCCAGACUCCUACGGGAGGCAGCAGUGGGGAAUAUUGCACAAUGGGGGCAAGCCUGAUGCAGCCAUGCCGCGUGGAUGAAGAAGGCCUUAGGGUUGUAAAGUACUUUCAGUGGGGAGGCGUUAACAGCAGAAGAAGCACCGGCUAACUCCGUGCCAGCAGCCGCGGUAAUUC
rnacentral:rRNA from 1 species